GCCGGGGUGGCCUAGUCUGGUUAGGGCGUCAGACUCAUAGGGAUUGGAAGCAUGGAUGCCUGAAACCUGAGAUAUCUGAAGGUCGCGGGUCCAAAUCCCGCCCCCGGUA
rnacentral:tRNA from 1 species